rnacentral:rRNA from 1 species
UUUAUUGGAGAGUUUGAUCCUGGCUCAGGAUGAACGCUGGCGGCGUGCCUAAUACAUGCAAGUCGAGCGAAUGGAUUAAGAGCUUGCUCUUAUGAAGUUAGCGGCGGACGGGUGAGUAACACGUGGGUAACCUGCCCAUAAGACUGGGAUAACUCCGGGAAACCGGGGCUAAUACCGGAUAACAUUUUGAACUGCAUGGUUCGAAAUUGAAAGGCGGCUUCGGCUGUCACUUAUGGAUGGACCCGCGUCGCAUUAGCUAGUUGGUGAGGUAACGGCUCACCAAGGCAACGAUGCGUAGCCGACCUGAGAGGGUGAUCGGCCACACUGGGACUGAGACACGGCCCAGACUCCUACGGGAGGCAGCAGUAGGGAAUCUUCCGCAAUGGACGAAAGUCUGACG